UGCAAGUCGAACGAGCGAGAGAGAGCUUGCUUUCUCGAGCGAGUGGCGAACGGGUGAGUAACGCGUGAGGAACCUGCCUCAAAGAGGGGGACAACAGUUGGAAACGACUGCUAAUACCGCAUAAGCCCACGGCUCGGCAUCGAGCAGAGGGAAAAGGAGCAAUCCGCUUUGAGAUGGCCUCGCGUCCGAUUAGCUAGUUGGUGAGGUAACGGCCCACCAAGGCAACGAUCGGUAGCCGGACUGAGAGGUUGAACGGCCACAUUGGGACUGAGACACGGCCCAGACUCCUACGGGAGGCAGCAGUGGGGAAUAUUGCACAAUGGGGGAAACCCUGAUGCAGCGACGCCGCGUGGAGGAAGAAGGUCUUCGGAUUGUAAACUCCUGUUGUUGGGGAAGAUAAUGACGGUACCCAACAAGGAAGUGACGGCUAACUACGUGCCAGCAGCCGCGGUAAAACGUAGGUCACAAGCGUUGUCCGGAAUUACUGGGUGUAAAGGGAGCGCAGGCGGGAAGACAAGUUGGAAGUGAAAUCUAUGGGCUCAACCCAUAAACUGCUUUCAAAACUGUUUUUCUUGAGUAGUGCAGAGGUAGGCGGAAUUCCCGGUGUAGCGGUGGAAUGCGUAGAUAUCGGGAGGAACACCAGUGGCGAAGGCGGCC
rnacentral:rRNA from 1 species